rnacentral:rRNA from 1 species
CAGACUCCUACGGGAGGCAGCAGUCGGGAAUAUUGCGCAAUGGAGGAAACUCUGACGCAGUGACGCCGCGUGCAGGAAGAAGGUUUUCGGAUUGUAAACUGCUUUAGACAGGGAAGAUACAAGACAGUACCUGUAGAAUAAGCUCCGGCUAACUACGUGCCAGCAGCCGCGGUAAUACGUAGGGAGCAAGCGUUAUCCGGAUUUAUUGGGUGUAAAGGGUGCGUAGACGGGAAAACAAGUUAGUUGUGAAAUCCCUCGGCUUAACUGAGGAACUGCAACUAAAACUAUUUUUCUUGAGUGCUGGAGAGGAAAGUGGAAUUCCUAGUGUAGCGGUGAAAUGCGUAGAUAUUAGGAGGAACACCAGUGGCGAAGGCGACUUUCUGGACAGUAACUGACGUUGAGGCACGAAAGUGUGGGGAGCAAACAGGAUUAGAUACCCUGGUAGUCCACACCGUAAACGAUGGAUACUAGGUGUAGGGGAUGAAUAAUCCUCUGUGCCGUCGCAAACGCAGUAAGUAUCCCACCUGGGGAGUACGGCCGCAAGGUUGCAACUCAAAUGAAUUGACGGA